rnacentral:rRNA from 1 species
AUUGAACGCUGGCGGCAUGCUUUACACAUGCAAGUCGAACGGCAGCGCGGGCUUCGGCCUGGCGGCGAGUGGCGAACGGGUGAGUAAUACAUCGGAACGUGCCCAGUAGUGGGGGAUAGCUCGGCGAAAGCCGGAUUAAUACCGCAUCCGACCUGAGGGUGAAAGCGGGGGAUCUUCGGAACUCGCGCUCUUGGAGCGGCCGAUGGCAGAUUGGCUAGUUGGUGGGGUAAAGGCCUACCAAGGCGACGAUCUGUAGCUGGUCUGAGAGGACGACCAGCCACACUGGGACUGAGACACGGCCCAGACUCCUACGGGAGGCAGCAGUGGGGAAUUUUGGACAAGGGGCGAAAGCCUGAUCCAGCAAUGCCGCGUGUGUGAUGAAGGCCUUCGGGUUGUAAAACACUUUUGGCGGGAACGAAAAGGACUGUGCCAAUACCACGGUUCGAUGACGGUACCCGCAGAAUAAGCACCGGCUAACUACGUG